AUGUCUGACCCUGUUCUCGGCGUGGGGACAUUAGAACGACCAUCGACCCGACCCCUGCCGUCGUGGAACCUCCCUGCCGGGCAGAGGAACCCGAAGGAAGUGGAAGCACCCCACCAGCCUCGAAGGCUUUUCGUCUUCACUUUGUUCCCAGUGCUGAAGGCCCCCCUGAAAGUGGCUGUGGUCACACCGAGUCUCAACACCAGCCUAUUCGGGAGACUCCAAGGCAGCCCACCCAAGAAUCACUCAAAACGCCAGAUUUCACUGGAGCGUGUUGGCCGCGGACCUCCUGUCAGUGGCUUUAAAGCAGCGCAGGCAGGAGCCCGAGGGACCCCCUUCGCCCAGAGGACACCAAAGAGACUCCGCUCUGCCGGGAGGGCCGCGGGGCGGCGCAGAGCCAACGGGCUGGCGGAGGAAGAGCGCGCACCGGACGUCUGCCCUGGGGCCCCUCGUCCUGGAGGCGGACGCCCUGCGUUCGGUGCGAUUCCCGAGGCCAGGCUGCUGAGGGCGCUAGGGUCCCGUCCUCGGGGCGGCGCGGCGGUCCUUUGCCGGGGCUGCUUGGGGGGCGCGGGCUCCUCGCUCGCAGGGGCGCGGCUGUUUCCAGGGCCUUGGGCGGUUCGAGCGAAGUCGGCGGGGCGGAUAGUUGUGGCCGAAAUGCCACUUUUGGGGGUUAGAGCAGGAGACCAGGCCGCCUGCCUCGUUUCCGUAGUGUAGUGGUUAUCACGUUCGCCUCACACGCGAAAGGUCCCCGGUUCGAAACCGGGCGGAAACAGCUUCCUUUUACCACUACCCCCCCCAACCCCCCCCCCCCCCCAUCUAUUGUCCUUUAAACCGCAAAAAGAACGAGGGCCGGAGUCCCACCGCCACCUGAAAGCCUUCUCAGCACUCGACCACCAGGCCUGGCCGCUGUGUGUCUGCUCCCAGUCACCUUGGAGAGCGGGCCACACCCACUUAGUCACUCCAACAAGGGCACGCAGGACGAAGCCCACUUCAGGUUACCUCUACUUCCACGCAUCCGCUGACCUGCUCAUCUGGCGCCUCCGUCUGCCCCACGGGCUCACAGCGACCGUGGCUCUGAAAAGCAGCACGUUCUUCCCUGGGCGGCACACUUGCGCAACAGGUGUAUUUAUUUGCCUGACAGAACGCAAAGAACACAAACCAGCUGCACCUGGGACCCGAGCCAAAGACGCGUAGGUGAGGAGUUUCAGGCUCCACCUAAUGAGCCCAUGGGGACACCAAAGGAGCCCGUCCCCGUGCCGUCAUCGGGACAGCUCUGGGGCUACUUCGGAAGUCGCCAAGUAGAGGGACUCCGCCCCUCCCCUCCCGCUGAGAGCCGAGUCCGCACCUUACCCAUCAGCAAACGAGGCUCAGAAAGAGAGCACGGCCUUGGCUCUGCAACACACACGGCUCCAGCUGGACUAGAGUGUGGCACAGGCCAGUCACCUUGUGGUCAGGGCCCAAGGGGUCGCUGAGGCUGGAAGAGGUGGUGAGCAGCAGGGCAAGGGCUGGGAGCCUUGUGCGGCUGCAUUCAGCCCCGCGCCGCUGGGAAUCGCCUCCGCUUGUGCUCUGUCCGCCUGGGAAAUGUCACCUUGACUUUCAGGGUUUUCAUCUGCAGGGGCCGAAGCAGGGAUCCUGUGUGGGUGGAUUCCCGGGAUCGGAUCGGUGGAUGGGAUUUGGAUUUUUCACCGCUACUGCUCAGGUUCGAUUCCAAUCC
ensembl:lncRNA